UCUGUUUCGUCGUCGUCUUCAAGCAUUGAGUGUCUCUCCCUUGACUCUUCCACUUCAUCUUCUCCAAUGUCUGGUUUUUUUUUUUCCAUUACCUUCUCAAUCAAUGAUGAUGUUAAAGCUAUUCUUCAACGUUUUGUUCCACCUACCUUUGAUACUUCUCCUAUAUAAAGCUCUAUCUCUAACCUAAAUCCAUCCUGAAUCAAAAACCCUACUCUGCAGAAACUAAAUUGCAAUGAAAUCCACAACAAAGUCUCAGCUUACCACCGGCAUAUCUCCCGUCGCCAUCUAUUUCAACGACAUCUCACCAAGACCAGAUGAGUCACAGCUUCGGUUUCAGGUAAUACAUCCUGUUUGCAGGCUUCUUCGUUUAAAUGUGGCCCUUUUCUUAUAUCUUCGUUUAAAACUGUUGCUAUUUCGCUUCUCAUGGAUUUGAAUCUAAGAAAGUUUAGAUUCUCUAUUGGUCUCUUACUCUGCUUAUAAAUUGGUUUCAGAAUAAAGUCGGCCAGGUAUGUGAUACUUAGCCACCUUGAGCACGUACACAUAUGUGUCUCACAAUGGAGAGAAAGUUUCUGUGAAACUCCACUUAUAGAGCAGCGAAUGUAUAUAACUAGAAAGCUGAAGGUCCUACGAAAACAUGGAUACGACAUGGUAUAGUUACUGCUCUGUUUUGAGAGAGUGGAAGCUGUAAAUCAUCAGUAACUGUGGCAGAGGUUUAACGAUCCCAAUCAUGACAGACACUCUUCACGGAGUUGAUAUUAAGGCCAUCAGUUGAAAAGGGUAAGGCAGCAAAGCAGGCUGGUGAGCCAAAAAUCGGUUUUGUACAGUGUAAAUAAACAAAGCAAACAUUGCUAACGAAAAAGGAGGAGAAGCCACUGAAACCAGUAUCAUUUAUGUAACUGAGCUAUCUAACGCUCAUGGCUUCAUUAGUUGACUGCAACAGGCCUAUGAUACAAUGGUGGGUGAAAGAGGACUUCAGUUAUCAGGCAGCAAAUACUAGAGAGUGGUAGCCAUAACAAUUUUUAAAGAUCCUAUGGUGUGGGCCGUGUGGUUUAGGGAUGAAGCAACAAUUACUGUUGAUACUUAGUCAGAGUCUGUGGUUCAUGAGUCAUGACGCAUUGGACCUGAUUAUGGUUAAUUGCAGAGGUUAGAAAGAAAACCAAGCCAGUGAUCCCAAUAUAUGAGGGUCUCUAUGUUUCUUUAGUACAACUUCAUCUGACUGCUUCUGCAAAAACAUUUUAAAGGAUUACCUACCAUUUGAGCAAAUAUGGAAUUGACAGCAAACAUAUUUUUCAUUAUGAAUGAUUACAGAGCUUCGAGAAUGACAUUGACUUUCACAGAAUGUUAAAAAGAUUGAUCUAACAAAGCCAGUACAAUCCUAACGAACCCUGCAAUGGCAGAACGCUGCAUCCAUUACUUCUUACAAGUAUGAAAGGGAUCACGGCAAUUCCUAGGCUAUUUGGUGAAAAGGUUCGCGGGAAUACAAAGAAUGAGGAAGAAAAAAGGAUGCAGUACUGAGGAUUCCUUUCUCUGAUCACCAUGUGCGUGAGCUGCUGUAUGUCUCCGUGAUUGAUAGAGACUCUUCAAAAGAAUUCCAUAUCGGAAAAGCCUGCCAAUACUUUCCUAACUUGAAUAGAACUUCGUUGCUUAAUUUGUUCAUAAUUAUCUUUUGGAUAUUACAUGGGCGAGGUGCAUAUAGC